GUAAGUUAAGCUUUUUACUUGAAGCUCCGGUUUUGUAAAUCGAUGAACAUUUUAUGUACUUACU
rnacentral:tRNA from 1 species